GACGAACGCUGGCGGCGUGCUUAACACAUGCAAGUCGAGCGGAAAGGCCCCUUUGGGGGUACUCGAGUGGCGAACGGGUGAGUAACACGUGAGUAACCUGCCCUUGACUUCGGGAUAACUUCAGGAAACUGGGGCUAAUACCGGAUAGGAAUCCUUGCUGCAUGGUGGGGGUUGGAAAGCUUCGGCGGUUUUGGAUGGACUCGCGGCUUAUCAGCUUGUUGGUGGGGUAGUGGCUUACCAAGGCUUUGACGGGUAGCCGGCCUGAGAGGGCGACCGGCCACAUUGGGACUGAGAUACGGCCCAGACUCCUACGGGAGGCAGCAGGGGGGAAUAUUGCACAAUGGGCGGAAGCCUGAUGCAGCAACGCCGCGUGCGGGAUGACGGCCUUCGGGUUGUAAACCGCUUUCAGCAGGGGCGAAGCUUGUGGUGACGGUACCUGCAGAAGAAGCACCGGCUAACUACGUG
rnacentral:rRNA from 1 species